AUGAAUCUUCUGGCCUGGAACUGUCGAGGAUUGGGGUUGGAUUCAACAGUUGGCGAAAUCAGAGACCUGAUACGGUCCCACAACCCAGCGGUGGUGUUUUUGAGUGAGACAAAGAAGAUGGCUAGGGCUAUGGAGAAGCUAAAGUGGAGCCUUGGUUUUAAGGAAGGGGUGGCUGUUGAUUGCAAGGGCAAGAGUGGCGGCAUGGCACUAUGGUGGAGAGAUAGUGUUGUAGUGACGGUGCGUCCUUGGUGUCAAUACUUUGUCGAUGCCGCGGUUGUAUUCGAAGGAAAGGCUUGUAGGAUCAUUGGAUUCUACGGCGAGCCGAGAACGGAGCUCAGAGCUAAGUCAUGGGAAGCACUUAGGUACCUCAAAAGGCCAGAUGAUUAG
rnacentral:rRNA from 1 species